rnacentral:lncRNA from 1 species
AUCACUGAAUCACUGAAUCACAGAAUCCCAGAUCAUGGAAUCACUGAAUCACAGUCAUGGAAUCAUGGAAUAACUGAAUCACAGAGUCACAGAGUCACAGAAUGAACCAGGUUGGAAAAGACCUUUAAGAUCAUCCAGUCCAACCUAUGAUUAUUGCACCAGCCUUUCUUUACCUGGAGAGGAGGAAAGCCCCAGAGACGAGGACACAGCAGGAUUCUGUUUCCAGGCAGUUCUCCUGAGCAGGUCUUUAGGCGUUUAGGAUCACCAAGGUCCUGUUCCUGUGGUCCCAAGUUGCUGUUAGAAUACAAAUAUUUUCUAAACACAAGUGCAGCACAAGUGAUCUGACAGAAAUGUGUGCCCUGAGUGCCCAGCCUGGCCUGGAGUGAGCACCCAGCCAGAUUCUGUGUC